ensembl:misc_RNA 7SK 7SK RNA
GGAUGUGAGGGUGAUCUGUCUGCGACAUCUGUCACCCCAUUGAUAGCCAGGGUCGAUUCGGCUGAUCUGGCUGGCUAGGUGGGUGUCCCCUUCCUCCCUCACCGCUCCAUGUGCGUCCCUCCCGAAGCUGUGUGCUCGGUUGAAGAGGACGGCCUUCCCUGAAUAGAGACAGACCAGUAUAGAGACAGACCGGUAUAGAGACAGACCCGUCUUCGGUCAAGGGUAUAGGAGUAGCUGCGCUCCCCUGCUAGAACCUCCAGACAAGCUCUCAAGGUCCAACUUGGUGACCCUUUACCAGCUACAGUAGUUUAUAUAAAUUAAACAAAACAAAAAACUAAGACCGCAUGAUAUGAUUU